CCAACUUGGCAUAAAUUUCCUCGAUUAAAUGAUUUAUUUUCACAAAAUAACAACUAAAGUAGUAAUAUUGAAGCCUAAUGUGAUUCGUUAACAGUUUGGCCGACUCAAAAAGCUCCUGUGAGGUAUAAGACUUCAGUGGUGCACCACAUUUCUUCAAAUUACAAUAAAAUAGAUAUCAACAAAAAGGCUGUGCAAACACUACUCUACACACAUAUUGUACUUUGGAAGGGUAAAGAGAAAGUAAAAGAUAAGUACCAUAAGUGAAAUUUUUCCUACUUUUCAUUUGCUAAAGGACAUAGCGAUAUACUGGAUUCUCAGAACAAACAAUGAGACAUAAAGAUAAAGUUUUGCCAAAUAAUCAACUAAUUAUGUCACAGACAAGACCAAAUUAUGAACAGAUAUAGAUGCAUAUCCCCGAACACCAAAUCCCAUUUGUUUUGCUC
rnacentral:lncRNA from 1 species